rnacentral:rRNA from 1 species
UACGUAGGGUGCAAGCGUUGUUCGGAUUUAUUGGGCGUAAAGCGCGUGUAGGCGGCUUCUUAAGUUUGAUGUGAAAGCCCCCGGCUCAACCGGGGAGUGCGGCUGCGAACUGGGUUUCUUGAGGACGGUAGAGGAGAGUGGAAUUCCUGGUGUAGCGGUGAAAUGCGUAGAUAUCAGGAGGAACACCCGAGGCGAAGGCGGCUCUCUGGGUCGUACCUGACGCUGAGGCGCGAAAGCGUGGGGAGCGAACGGG